UACGUAGGUGGCAAGCGUUGUCCGGAUGUAUUGGGGUUAAAGGGUGCGUAGGCGGCUUUGUAAGUCAGCGGUGAAAUACUCUAGCUUAACUAGAGGGGUGCCAUUGAUACUGCGGAGCUUGAGUACAGAUGAGGUAGGCGGAAUUGACGGUGUAGCGGUGAAAUGCAUAGAUAUCGUCAAGAACACCGAUAGCGAAGGCAGCUUACUGGGCUGUAACUGACGCUGAUGCACGAAAGUGUGGGGAUCAAACAGG
rnacentral:rRNA from 1 species